CCUACGGGAGGCAGCAGUGGGGAAUAUUGCACAAUGGGGGAAACCCUGAUGCAGCGACGCCGCGUGAGUGAAGAAGUAAGUCGUUAUGUAAAGCUCUAUCAGCAGGGAAGAAAAUGACGGUACCUGUGUAAGAAGCCCCGGCUCACUACGUGCCAGCAGUCGCGGUAAUACGUAGGGGGCAAGCGUUAUCCGGAUUUACUGGGUGUAAAGGGAGCGUAGACGGCAGUGCAAGUCUGGAGUGAAAGGCGGGGGCUCAACCCCCGGACUGCUCUGGAAACUGUACGGCUGGAGUGCAGGAGAGGUAAGUGGAAUUCCUAGUGGAGCGGGGAAAUGCGUAGAUAUUAGGAGGAACACCAGUGGCGAAGGCGGCUUACUGGACUGUAACUGACGUUGAGGCUCGAAAGCGUGGGGAGCAAACAGGAUUAGAUACCCGGGUAGUC
rnacentral:rRNA from 1 species